rnacentral:lncRNA from 1 species
GAUCCUGGAUAAUUCUCCUUUGUCCUGAAUGAAUCCCAGUAAAUCUCUCACCCUUGGCAGAGCUCACCAUUCCAGCUUGACUUAAAGUGCUUUGUGUAACUCAGCCUGGACACUCCUAUAUGCUCUGGCUUCAUGGCUGCCCAGCAAUGCAGUGUAGACAUGGCAGGACUGGAGAAGAGUGCCAGGAAAGAUAAGGAAACUAGCUUCCACUACACACCCUAAAGCAGCAAAAGGCACUUUUGUUUUCAAGCCAGUUACUAUAAAACACACCUGGCUUCACUUUGAACUAAGCCAUCCUAGGAAG